rnacentral:rRNA from 1 species
AAAAUUAAAAGGACGCGGUAACCUUGACCGUGAUAAUGUAGCAUAAUCAUUCGCCAUUUAAUUGAUGGAUAGUAUGAAUGGUUGAACGAAUAUUCCACUGUCUUAAGAAGAAAUAAUAAAAAAUUAGAAUAAUAGUAAAGAUUCUAUUUAAAAUUGUAAGACGAAAAGACCCUAUAGAGCUUAACUAUAAUUUUCUGUAUAACUAAUUAUAGCAGAAAAUUGGUAGUUUAGUUGGGGCGACUGUCUUUUAAAAAUAACAAAGACAAGCAAAAAUUAAUACUAAAAUUUAUUGUAUAACUAAUAAAUUUAACAAUUACAAAAGUAGGCUAUAAUGACCCGUUAUUAUUUAAUAAGAAAAAUAACGAUCAAUAAAUAAAAGCUACCUUAGGGAUAACAGGAUAAUUUUAUUCUAGAGAUCUAAUCGAAAAUAAAGUUUGUCACCUCUAUGUUGAAUUAAGA